UGGGGAAUAUUGGACAAUGGGCGCAAGCCUGAUCCAGCCAUGCCGCGUGAGUGAUGAAGGCCCUAGGGUUGUAAAGCUCUUUCAGCGAGGAGGAUAAUGACGUUACUCGCAGAAGAAGCCCCGGCUAACUUCGUGCCAGCAGCCGCGGUAAUACGAAGGGGGCUAGCGUUGUUCGGAAUCACUGGGCGUAAAGCGCACGUAGGCGGACUUUUAAGUCAGGGGUGAAAUCCCGGGGCUCAACCUCGGAACUGCCUUUGAUACUGGAAGUCUGGAGUCCGAGAGAGGUGAGUGGAACUCCGAGUGUAGAGGUGAAAUUCGUAGAUAUUCGGAAGAACACCAGUGGCGAAGGCGGCUCACUGGCUCGGUACUGACGCUGAGGUGCGAAAGCGUGGGGAGCAAACAGGAUUAGACACCCUGGUAGUCCACGCCGUAAACGAUGGAAGCUAGCCGUCAGGGUGCAUGCAUCUUGGUGGCGCAGUUAACGCAUUAAGCUUCCCGCCUGGGGAGUACGGUCGCAAGAUUAAAACUCAAAGGAAUUGACGGGGUCAUAGCUGUUUCCU
rnacentral:rRNA from 1 species